UAAUCGGCGCAUCCGCAACGGGUGCCCGAGCCGGGGACCCACGUUGUCCUCUGGGGUGAAUCCCUCCGACCGCACCCGCGGAACGGGGGGUAGGGCUGAUCUUCCCAGCCCGAACCCGUCAGCUAACUCGGUCGGCGGACGAACGGAAGA
rnacentral:sRNA from 1 species